UCCUUGGUGGUCCAGUGGCUAAGACUCUGCACUCCUAAUGCAGGGGACCUGGGUUCAAUCCCUGGUUAGGGAA
rnacentral:tRNA from 2 species